ensembl:lncRNA
CCAUGGACUCUGACGUAGCAAUGUUAGCAAUGGCUCAUAGGUAAAAAAGAAAAUCUCCCCCAGGCUUGCCAUCAGCCAUCCAGCAGAGGAAGCUGGACAAGCUAAAUGCUACGCUGCAAGCCACAGAGACAAGAGCACGGGAGGCAGAACGUGUGGCCGAGCUAGCCAAGACAGACGCCAGGGACACCCUAAACCACAUGAUAAUCUACGAGUCUGGCACUGAUGGUCUGCAGGUGGCCAUCGCUGAGAUCAAAGAAUAUAAGAAUCAGAUGAGAGAUGAGACCGCGAGACGGAGGCCAUGACCACAGAUAUCAACCAGCUGGAAAUGAGAAUCAAUGCAGAUGUUAAGGAAAGUCUCGCCCCAAGAGGAAGUGGAUCUGACGGAAUUCAGAAGAACCGAAUCCCUGAAACAGCGGCAGUUCAAAGCAGAGAACCAGGAUCUCACCAAAGAGAUCGAACGACUGGAAGGGGAGAUACUUGAACUGAAGAAACAAAUCAGAGGAAUGGUAAAGGACAAAGUAUAUAACAGCGGUACACAAUAGGAGAGAGACAGAUAAUAUCUCCUUUCUUCGUAAAUGUCAACCAUAAAGGAAAAGGGCAAAGUACGAGAGUCAUGCUAUUAAUUGUCCAACGCAGGAAUGGAGAGUAAGCUAGUGAGGUAGGCUGCAGUGGGUUUGCUGGCCAAGACAUAUACUGAACAUGUAACCACAGUAAUGGUGGCCAGUAAAUCAAUUAAUAAAAAUGUAAUAUUGACAAAUAUUGACAAAUUGAUGUACAUUUCAGAGCCUCUUCAGUGUGGAUGGGGUAUAGCAUACAUUUUCAACAACAGACUGUACUUCCAGUUUGUGUUGUUUACUCUGUUGAACUCUUUUAUCUUCAUUCCUAGGCACAGCACAUAGAACCACCGUUGGCAGGCAAAACAUUCAAUCAAAACAAAACGAUGCGUAGCACGUUAUAAAUAAUAUCAAAUAUCAAUGCAGAAUGACGAAUUAGCCAUCCAUUGUGUUAAAGUGUAUAAUAAAGUGUCUUCUAUGCCGUCACUGUUGUCAAAAGAUUAUAAACAUGUUAAAUAAAGUUACUAACCCAGUCAGUCUUUGGGCCACAUCCAGGUUCUUUAUCAGUGGCACACAUGAAGCAGUUGUUGGCUUUGUUGAACUCUGAAAUCAUAGGCAUGAACUGAACAUAUGGCUGUCCCACACAACUACAUAAAAAUAAACAAUGAACAUUUACUUUGAAUUAAAUGUCAUUACAUACCAGACAUUUAUAGUAUAUCCUCAGCCAUUUCUUUUCGCAGUUGCUCCAUUUAUUUUUGAACGUUCCAUAUCGAUUUGGGAGGGGAUGUUGGGGACGUUCUGUGUAACUUCCUUGGCCAUCUACACCAAAAAAUAAAAUAGAGUUUUUAACCUAAUUGUCACAUAACAGCUAGCCAUUCAUUAUUGAAAAUAUAACUAUCAAACCUGCAUUGCUAAGACCCCACAGCUGAAGGUGUCCUGCUGCAUGGUGUGAGUUACUUCCCCUCCUUUACAGUUUAUGUCCACCCAGUCGUCUUUUCCAUGGCAGGAUCUUCUCUUUUUUUGUAAAAAUAAUGGAUUUAUGAUUUAGUUAUAGGAAAAUGAAUACACAAGCCAAAUGUGUAUGCUGUUUUCCUUAUCACUAUAAUCUAGUAGUAAUUUAUUAGUAGAGGUCAUUUCCUUUAUGCCCAAUUCUACACACAGUCUAAAUUAUAGGCACUGAACCAUUUACAGGACAAUAAAAGUAGCAUAUAGGAUCCAACCCUGUCACAGAGUGAAUAAAUGUACAGUAUUGGCCAAAAGUUUUGAGAAUGACACAAAUAUUAAUUUUCACAAAGUCUGCUGCCUCAGUUUGUAUGAUGGCAAUUUGCAUAUACUCCAGAAUGUUAUGAAGAGUGAUCKGAUGAACUGCAAUUAUUUGCAAAGUCCCUCUUUGCCAUGCAAAUUAACUGAAUCACCAAAAAACAUUUCCACUGCAUUUCAGCCCUGCCACAAAAGGACCAGCCUGACAUCAUGUCAGUGAUUCUCUUGUUAACACAGGUGUGAGUGUUGACAAGGACAAGGCUGGAGAUCACUCUAUCAUGCUGAUUGAGUUCGAAUAACAGACUGGAAGCUUCAAAAGGAGGGUGGUGCUUGGAAUCAUUGUUCUUCCUCUGUCAAUCAUGGUUACCUGCAAGGAAACACGUGCCGUCAUCAUUGCUUUGCACAAAAAGGGCUUCACAGGCAAGGAUAUUGCUGCCAGUGUGAUAAAUCAACUAUUUAUCAGAUCAUCAAGAACUUCAAGGAGAGCGGUUCAAUUGUUGUGAAGGCUUCAGGUAGCCCAAGAAAGUCCAGCAAGCGCCAAGACAGUCUCCUAAAGUUGAUUCAGCUGCGGGAUCGGGGCACUAACAGUACAGAGCUUGCUCAGGAAUGGUAGCAGGCAGGUGUGACUGCAUCUGCAUGCACAGUGAGGUGAAGACUUUUGGAGGAAGGCCUGGUGUCAAGAAGGGCAGCAAAGAAGCCACUUCUCUCCAGAAAAAACACCAGGGACAGACUGAUAUUCUGCAAAAGGUACAGGGAUUGGACUGCUGAGGACUG